CCUACGGGUGGCAGCAGUGAGGAAUAUUGGUCAAUGGACGAGAGUCUGAACCAGCCAAGUAGCGUGAAGGAUGACUGCCCUAUGGGUUGUAAACUUCUUUUAUAUGGGAAUAAAAUGUUCCACGUGUGGGAUUUUGUAUGUACCUUAUGAAUAAGGAUCGGCUAACUCCGUGCCAGCAGCCGCGGUAAUACGGAGGAUCCGAGCGUUAUCCGGAUUUAUUGGGUUUAAAGGGAGCGUAGGUGGAUUGUUAAGUCAGUUGUGAAAGUUUGCGGCUCAACCAUAAAAUUGCAGUUGAUACUGGCAGUCUUGAGUACAGUAGAGGUGGGCGGAAUUCGUGGUGUAGCGGUGAAAUGCUUAGAUAUCACGAAGAACUCCGAUUGCGAAGGCAGUUCACUGGACUGCAACUGACACUGAGGCUCGAAAGUGUGGGUAUCAAACAGGAUUAGAUACCCCAGUAGUC
rnacentral:rRNA from 1 species